GCUUAGAAGCAGCCACACAUUCAAAGAGUGCGUAAUAGCUCACUGGUCGAGUGAUCCAGCGCCGAAAAUGUAACGGGGCUAAAACGCGACACCGAAGCAGCGGGAUGCGUAAGCAUCGGUAGAGGAGCAUUGUGUGAGGAUAGAAGCCAGAGCGGGAGCACUGGUGGACUUCACAGAAGAGAGAAUGCCGGUAUGAGUAGCGAGACCCAUGCGAGAAACAUGGGCGUCGAAGGCCCAAGGUUUCCUGGGGAAGGUUCAUCCACCCAGGGUAAGUCGGGACCUAAGCCGAGGACUGAGGUCGUAGGCGAUGGACAGCAGGUAGAGAUUCCUGCACCACUUACACUUGUUUGACGAAGCAGUGACACAGAAGGAUAGGACGAGCGCGGUGAUGGUCAACCGCGUAGGCGGCACGAGGCUGGGGAGCAGUAAAGUACACUUCCCGUGAAGGCUGAGUGCUGACAGGACCGAAAAAGAGUAGGGAAGCGUCUGAGUUCACGCUGGCGAGAAAAGCUGCUAAGGAGAGUGUGAGUGCCCGUACCGGAAACCGACGCAGGUGGGCGAGGAGAGAAUCCUGAGACGGACGGGAGAACUCUUGUUAAGGAACUCGGCAAAAUGACCCCGUAACUUCGGGAGAAGGGGUGCCUCGAAAGAGGCCGCAGAGAAUAGUCACAAGCGACUGUUUAGCAAAAACACAGGUAUCUGCGAAAGCGAGAGCUGACGUAUAGGUGCUGACGCCUGCCCGGUGCUGGAAGGUUAAGGGGAAGUGUUAGGGGAAACCCGAAGCAGAGAACCGAAGCCCCAGUAAACGGCGGCCGUAACAAUAACGGUCCUAAGGUAGCGAAAUUCCUUGUCGGGUAAGUUCCGACCCGCACGAAUGGCGUAACGACUUGUGAGCUGUCUCAACAGGAGGCCCGGUGAAAUUGAAGUAUGUGUGAAGAUGCACAUUACCCGCGACUGGACGGAAAGACCCCGUAGAGCUUUACUGUAACCUGACAUUGGAUCUUGAUAACGGAUGCACAGGAUAGGUGGGACGCUGGGAGGUAUGGACUUUGGUCUGUACGGAGCGGACGUUGGGAUACCACUCUUCUGUUAUUGAGAUUCUAACCUCAAGCCGUAAGCCGGAUGAGAGACAGUGUCAGGCGGACAGUUUGACUGGGGCGGUCGCCUCCGAAAGAGUAACGGAGGCGCCCAAAGGUACCCUCAGAAUGGAUGGAAACCAUUCGAAGAGAGCAAAGUCAGAAGGGUGCUUGACUGCGAGACCAACAAGUCGAGCAGGUACGAAAGUAGGGCUUAGUGAUCCGGCGGUAAGAGAGUGGAAUUGCCGUCGCUCAACGGAUAAAAGCUACCUCGGGGAUAACAGGCUGAUCUCCCCCAAGAGUUCACAUCGACGGGGAGGUUUGGCACCUCGAUGUCGGCUCGUCGCAUCCUGGGGCUGAAGCAGGUCCCAAGGGUUUGGCUGUUCGCCAAUUAAAGCGGCACGCGAGCUGGGUUCAGAACGUCGUGAGACAGUUCGGUCCCUAUCCAUCGUGGGCGUAGGAGUCAUGAGAGGAGCUGUUCCUAGUACGAGAGGACCGGAAUGGACGCAUCACUGGUGCAACUGUUGUCGUGCCAACGGCAUAGCAGGGAAGCGAAAUGCGGAUGGGAUAAACGCUGAAGGCAUCUAAGCGUGAAGCCCACCUCAAGAAUAAGUGUCCCAUUCGAAAGAAGUAAGACCCCUGGAAGACUACCAGGUGAUAGGUCAUCGGUGAAAGAGCGGUAACGUUUGGAGCUUGAUGAUACUAAUCGGUCGAGGAGAUCG
rnacentral:rRNA from 1 species